UGCCAGAAACAAGGCGGAGUUAGAUUCACAGUUAAUGGAAGAGACUAUUUCGAGCUUGUGUUGAUAAGCAAUGUAGCAGGUGCUGGUUCCAUCCAAUCUGUAUCCAUUAAAGGCUCAAAAACAGGGUGGAUGACAAUGUCAAGAAACUGGGGAGCUAAUUGGCAAUCUAAUGCCUAUCUCAAUGGGCAAUUUUUAUCCUUCAGGGUCACGACUACUGAUGGGGUGACCAGAUCAUUCACGGACAUUGCUCCAGCAACUUGGGCAUUUGGCCAAACUUUCUCUAGCACAGUACAAUUCUAAAAUUAAAUCAUCAAGGGCUUUGGAGUUCAG
rnacentral:misc_RNA from 1 species